GCAAUUUUCGUAGAAGUGGCGAAGAUGGCGUAGGUCCGGCGGAGCCCUUACUGUGUCUGUGGAACAGGAGGUCGGUGGUUCGAGCCCACCCAACUGUACCA
rnacentral:tRNA from 1 species